UCGAGGCGCGUAGUUGUAGCCUAGAUAUGUAGGGUGCUGGAGUACGUCAGUUAAGUGUUAAUAUGAUCACUGAUAUUUUACCUACAAGCGUUUGCACUUUUUGCGCAUGUUAAAUACAUCCAGUCAGUAUGUCUAGCUAGCUAGCAAGCUAAGUCCUCUGUUUGUAACGUUACUUUAAAAAGAGGUUUCGUUAAUUAACGUUAGGUCAACGUGUAUUAUCUACACGUGGGGAUGUUUGUACGUUAAUGAGGUCAUCUGAAGAAAAGGGUUCCAGUGGAAUGAGCCUUGUGGACCUCAUAUACAUGGUUGACCAGCUGGAGUGAAUGCAGAGCGUGUCUCUUGGCACAUCUACCAUAAGUAUUUGCGUAGUUUCUUUGUUUUUAUUUUAAUGUAUUCAUUUUCCAAAUAAAUACCAAAA